CAGUAGCCGCGGGAAUACGUAGGCGGCAAGCGUUGUCCGGAAUUAUUGGGCGUAAAGCGCGCGCAGGUGGUUUAAUAAGUCUGAUGUGAAAGCCCACGGCUCAACCGUGGAGGGUCAUUGGAAACUGUUAAACUUGAGUGCAGGAGAGAAAAGUGGAAUUCCUAGUGUAGCGGUGAAAUGCGUAGAGAUUAGGAGGGACACCAGUGGCGAAGGCGGCUUUUUGGCCUGUAACUGACACUGAGGCGCGAAAGCGUGGGGAGCAAACAGGAUUAGAUACCCGAGUAGUCCCUGUCUCUUAUAC
rnacentral:rRNA from 1 species